rnacentral:rRNA from 1 species
UACGCAGGUGGCGAGCGUUGCCCGGAAUCACUGGGCGUAAAGGGUGCGUAGGCGGCAGGGCAAGUCGCAGGUUAAAGCCCGGGGCUCAACCCCGGAAAGGCCUGCGAUACUGCCCUGCUUGAGGGCCGGAGAGGCUGGCGGAAUUCCCGGUGUAGGGGUGAAAUCCGUAGAUAUCGGGAGGAACACCGGUGGGGAAGCCGGCCAGCUGGACGGUCCCUGACGCUGAGGCACGAAAGCGUGGGGAGCAAACCGG